rnacentral:misc_RNA from 1 species
GAUGAAGAACGCAGCGAAAUGCGAUAAGUAAUGUGAAUUGCAGAAUUCAGUGAAUCAUCGAAUCUUUGAACGCACAUUGCGCCCGCCAGCAUUCUGGCGGGCAUGCCUGUUCGAGCGUCAUUUCAACCCUCGAGCCCCCCCGGGGGCCUCGGUGUUGGGGGACGGCACACCAGCCGCCCCCGAAAUGCAGUGGCGACCCCGCCGCAGCCUCCCCUGCGUAGUAGCACACACCUCGCACCGGAGCGCGGAGGCGGUCACGCCGUAAAACGCCCAACUUUCUUAGAGUUGACCACGGAUCAGGUAGGAAUACCCGCUGAACUUAAGCAUAUCAAUAAGCGGAGGA